GACGAACGCUGGCGGCGUGCUUAACACAUGCAAGUCGAACGGAAAGGCCCUGCUUUUGUGGGGUGCUCGAGUGGCGAACGGGUGAGUAACACGUGAGUAACCUGCCCUUGACUUUGGGAUAACUUCAGGAAACUGGGGCUCAUACCGGAUAGGAGCUCCUGCUGCAUGGUGGGGGUUGGAAAGUUUCGGCGGUUGGGGAUGGACUCGCGGCUUAUCCGCUUGUUGGUGGGGUAGUGGCUUACCAAGGCUUUGACGGGUAGCCGGCCUGAGAGGGUGACCGGCGACAUUGGGACUGAGAGACGGCGCAGACGGCUACGGGAGGCAGCAGGGGGGAAUAUGGCACAAUGGGGGGAAGCCUGAUGCAGCAACGCCGCGUGCGGGAUGACGGCCUUCGGGUUGUAAACCGCUUUCGCCUGUGACGAAGCGUGAGUGACGGUAAUGGGUAAAGAAGCACCGGCUAACUACGUG
rnacentral:rRNA from 1 species